AGUGAUCAAUAAAAAUUAGAUUCACAAUUUAAUAUAUUUUGUAAGUGGUACCUGGAAAAGCAAAACUUAAAAAAAAAUAGUAUUCUCAAUCUUUGCUGCUUCUACUUCAUUUCCAUAGGCAUUAAGAAAUUCAUUUUAGCCAGCUGCAGUGGCUCGUGCCUAUAAUCCCAGCACUUUGGCAGGCUGAGGUGGGAGGAUUACUUGAACUCAGGAGUUUGAGGCUAUCCUGGGCAACAUAAUAAGACCCUAUCUCAAAAAUAAAUAAAUAAAAUAAAUUAGCUAGGCAUGUUGGCAUAUGCCUGUAGUCACAGAUACUUGGGAGGCUGAGGUGGGAGGAUUGCUUGAGCCAGAAGGUCGAGGCUAUGGUGAGUUGUGAUCAUGCCACAGCACUCCAGCCUGGGCAACAGAGCAAGACCCUGUCUCAAGAAAAAGAAAAGAAAUUCAUUUCAGUGUCUCUUCAGUUGAUUUUUUGCUUAGCACACU
rnacentral:lncRNA from 1 species